UACGAGCCAAUCGGCUCCGAGCGGAGGAGGUGGCCGGUCGCGGCUGCGCGACCCAGCGGAGUCGAGCGGCAUGGCGGGCGGGGCGCGGGAGGUGCUCACGCUGCAGUUAGGCCACUUCGCGGGUUUCGUGGGAGCGCACUGGUGGAACCAGCAGGAUGCUGCGCUGUGCGCCCCGACCGAUGCCACGGAGCCGCCGGGGGAGCUGUGUCCCGACGUCCUGUACCGGGCCGGCCGGACGGCGCACGGCCAGGAGACGUACACGCCCAGGCUCAUCCUCAUGGAUCUGAAGGGCAGUCUGAGCUCCCUAAAACAAGAAGGUGGCCUCUACGGAGACAGACAGCUAGAUGCAGCGAUAGCAUGGCAGGGAAAGCUCACCACGCACAAGGAGGAACUCUGUCCCCCAAAUCCUUAUCUCCAGGAUCUUCUGAGUGCAGAGGGAGUGCUGAGUCAUGAUGGUAUCUGGAGGGUCAAACCCAUCCCCAAUGGCAAAGGUCCCCCACCACUCCCUGCUGCUAUAGCCCCCAAACCACUUAUCCCCACAGAGAGCAGUAUCAGAGUCUGGUCAGAUUUCCUGCGCGUCCAUCUCCAUCCCCGGAGCAUCUGUAUGAUUCAGAAGUACAACCAUGACGGGGAAGCAGGCCGCCUAGAGGCUUUUGGCCAAGGCGAGAGUGUCCUGAAGGAGCCCAGGUACCUGGAAGAGCUGGAGGAUAGACUGCAUUUCUACAUGGAGGAAUGUGACUACCUGCAGGGUUUCCAGAUCCUGUGUGACCUGCACAAUGGCUUCUCCGGGGUAGGCGCGAAGGCCACAGAGUUGCUACAGGACGAGUAUUCAGGGCGGGGAAUAAUAACCUGGGGCCUGCUCCCUGGUCCCUACAGUCUUGGGGAGCCCCAGAAAAACAUCUAUCGUCUGCUGAACACAGCUUUUGGCCUGGUGCAAAUGUCUGCUCACAGCUCUCUGGUCUGCCCCUUGUCCUUGGGCGGGAGCCUGGGACUGCGACCUGAGCCUCCGGUCACCUUCCCUCACCUACAGUAUGACGCCACUCUGCCCUUCCACUGUGCUGCCAUCCUGGCGACAGCCCUGGAUACAGUCACUGUUCCUUACCGCCUACGUUCCUCACCGGUUUCCAUGGUUCAUCUGGCUGACAUGCUGAACUCCUCUGGGAAAAAGGUGGUGACGGCAGCAGCAACCAUCCCUUUCCCCUUGGUCCCAGGCCAGUCCCUUCCUGAUGCCCUGGUGCAGCUUGGAGGAGCCACGGCGUGGACCCCACUGUCUGCAUGUGGGGCUCCUUCUGGAACACGCUUUGCCCAGUCAGUGGUGCUGAGGGGUCUAGACAAAGCAUGCCACACCAGCCGGCUCGCCCCAGGGACACGUCUGCCUUCACCGCUCCACGCGUGCGACACUGGGGAAGACGUCUUGGCCCGGUAUCUGCAGCAGGAGCAGCCUGGAGGCAGGAGCUCCGCCCACCUGCUGCUGGCGCCCUGCAAGGUGGUUCCUCCGUACCCCUGCCUCUUCUCCCCAAGCCUCAGCCGGCACGGUUUGCUUCUGGAUGGCCCGCCACUGGGGGCAGAACCACUGCCAUGUGCCCUGAUGAGUCAAGCCCCUCCUCUGGGCCCUUGGGGCUUGUCUCUCGGUUGGCCACCCCGUCCCUUCCUCGGUUUCCCUGGGGCUUGACGUUCUAGCAGGGCUGAAGCCACUUACCUCGGCGGGGGUCUUAUUUCCCAGCUGCUGGGAGAUGCUGCUGAACGUCUGUGGCUGUGCUCCUCGCUCCUGGCACAUGGUGAGAAUCACGCGGUCAGCUUCCCUGGAAACCACGUAUCACGAUUAGUCCCAGAUUAGGAACGUGGAUGUGUUCCACGAAUUUUACACACACACGUCCUCCACCCCUACCUACCUUGUCCACAGGACCACCUUCUCCCCAGUGGAGCUGACCUUGCUGUUGUUGGCACAGACUGUCGCUUCUGUGGCCUUCGGGUGCGGCUCUCCCGCUGGACCCUUGCCCUGGCUUCCACUGUCCUUAGCCAGACCUGCCCUAGGGGCUUUGGAAGAAGUCUCUGAGGUGUCAAUUCCUGAUGAAGGAGAUUCACGGACAGGGGACAUCCUGUUUCCUGUCUUCACUGCAGUUCUGCCUGCCAGCAACCAGCUCUCUGGAGUAUCUGAUCUCUCAGACACCUGUCUUCUCCCCACGUCUCUGGUCCUUGAGGAAACGGGACUCAGGAAGGAAGCAGGGGGCUCAACAGUUCCAGGCCAUUUCUCUGUUUCCGAAGCCUCCCAGGCAGGCACGGAAGCCUCUGGCUCACCCACUGCCUUCUGGUCCUCCCUCUCCUUCCGAAGUCUGGGGGAUGCCUGAGGGCAGGAGAGGACCUCCUGCCCAGCCUGGCUUCUCCUCCCAGUGCAGAGCAUGGCCCCAGUACUGGAGGGAAGGGGCCUGAGCACGGGAAGCAGCCCGGCCACGAUGUUCAGCAGGUCAACUGACAGUUUUAAAGUCCGCUUCUCCCACUCCUCGAACCAAGGACUCUCUUUUUGCUGCCAACCAACCCUACCCUAGAGAACUGGCAUUACUUUUAGGGUCUGUGUAUUCCAUAAGAAAGAAAAAAAAAAUCUGAGAAAUAUUUGAAGUGGUUCAUUUUGUUCCAAUUUCAAAAGCCUUCCUUACCCACAGGAUUAUCUUUAAAAAGCAGAAUCCAUCACAUACUUGUCCAGGAUUCUGUUUGUCCGGCGCACACACACUCACUGCGUGACGGGGAUAGCAGCCGGCCCAGCGCCGGGAGGCAGCCCCGGGCCCGGCCCCCGUGCCCGCCCCCCGCCCCCGCUCACCCUGCUGCCACAGCGGCCGCAGCUUCUUCUCUUGCUCUUCUUCAGCCUGGAGUCAGGGCCUCCUUCAUGGCAGCAGCAGGCACAGUCCUUGGCUCCGUCUGGCCACUCAGCCUCCUAGGAGACACUGGGCUUGGUUAGCGGCCGGCUAGCAUGCGCGGCGCCCAGAGAGCACACGGGCUGCAGGCCACCCGAGCAAGCCGCCCCGACCAGCACCCAGCAUGCGUGGCGGCACUGCAGCUCUUCCCCAGCCCGCCGGCGUUCCCUGCCACGAUCCUGCAGCGACCCGGAGGACUGACCUAGCCCAGCUGCCCGGAUAUUUCAAUACUGAAGUCAGAUACAAUUGGAGGCAAAGUCCUGGGAUGACCGACCACCUUGGCUCCCGCGUCCCUGUACCCGGGGCUCUGCCCCCUCCGCCGACCCCUUUGGGGCGGGGGGCUUGCUUUGUGCACGGGGAGGCCCUCUCAGGGACACUCUCUGUUCAGGGACCCCAGGUGCCAGGACCGUUACUACCCCCACGAACGACGACGAGGCUGGCACAGAUUCAGUAAGUUGCCCUAGGUCAUCCCGCUGCUAAGAAGCAGUUUUGCCGAAGGAAGAAGAAAAGAGGAAAACAGACUCCUCCUGGGUGAGCAGCGGAGGGCAGUGGGUCUGAGCAGACUCCAGACCGCUGGGGUCCGCACCCCAGCGCUGCCACGUAGGAGACAUGAGGCCCCGGCCCCGGCCUUGCGCUGCACGUCCCUUUCCUCUUCGGUCAAAUGCAAACAAGAGCCAUCUGUUCGUGGCCCUGCCGUGGAAGGAAGUGAGGGAACGAUCCGGGUACAACACCUCCGAGAGGUACACACCUAUUGUCACACAGCUGACUAUCAGCUGUUACCGAUAUUGCUAAGUGGGGAUGCUCGGUUCUACCUCUUCAUGCUAACAGAAAGGAAGGAAUCAAGACCCAAGGGCAAGAGAAACCACUCCAAGCCAGAGAGCCGAGGGGGAAACAUCGUUGUAAUGGGGCAGCUGUGGGGGAGCCUCCUCGGCAGCUCCCCCCUGCCCCCCGGUGGGCUCUGCAGCCUGACCCGACUGCCUGGGGCCCCAGAGGCCACGCACCGCACCAGCCAGAGAAACGCAGAAAACUCAAGGCCUGGUUUAUGGCAAGCAGGUGACACCCUACAACCUGGGGUACCUUGUCAUGAUUUUGGACCCCAAUCUCUUUUCUUCUUUUGCUCUUGGAGGCCGUGGGUAUCUUGGGAGGCUCCUCUUCCUCCUCCACAUCGGGCAGUGCCACUUCUUCAAAGCCGUCAAACUGGGGAGGAGCAGGGGCCCCUCAGCGCAGACCCUGGGCAGGCACCCCUCCGACGCGUGGCCUUCCCCCUUCCCAAGCCCACUGCAGCCUCGGGGCCGGUACCUCGUACUCCUUCUCCUCGGUCCAGUUGAUCUCUUCAAAGUCCCCCAUCCGGCUGGCUGCUGGGCGCAGGUGAUCAAAGAAGACUGAGAACUCGUCCUGCAGGUGGUCAUGGCCCUUCAGAAGCUGCCACAUCUGCGUCUUGAGCUGGGGAGAGUGGUCGGGGGAAGGAUGAAGUGUCCAGGGCCUCUCCAGGCUGCCGUCCCAAACCAGUCCCAUUCGCCCCCAAGGUCUACCCUCCUAGUCUCCUGAGGGACAGCCGGAAGCCUCUCCUGGACCGCUAAGACUUCUUCAGCGUCCCCUACCUGCUCGCGUGCCUACACUGAAGGGGAAUUAAUAAUAUGUUUGAUUCCUGAUGACCACACUCUGCACCCUGGCCUCCUGAUCUCCAGCCCCGGCAGCAACCCGAGCACAGCGAGGAGACAAGUCCCCCCCAGGCCCCAUCACCUCCUUCCCUGAACUUCCCUUCCAGGCACUGAUGGCAACCCUGAGCCUUUGAGUUCAGUCAGGCUCUGGUUUCAGGGGACAAGCACCCCCUGUUCCAGGGGUUUAUGCUUCAGGAAAGCCGAAAAAAGUCCUCGCCUUCUUCAUCCCCUCCGGAAGUCCAAGGUACCCCAGAAGCAAGAGAACGGGCACAGAUGCCAGCAGGACAGGAAAGAGCACCUCCGUGAUCUCCUGGGGCAGGCAGUCCGCACAGCUCUGGAGGACCUUGAUGAUCUUCUGGUGGUGCGAGGGGUUCUCUGCAAAGCAAAUCUCCAGCUGCCGAAGAAACUUGCGGCUCUUCUCAAACGCCUGCUGUUCCUCAAACUACCCCAGUGGAAAGAAAGCAAGAGUGUCACGUGCACAGCGAGUGCGGACCGGAGGGCGCUACGCCCACGGAACAAGAGCGUUGGGCUGGGAAGCGGGGGCGACGGGGAGCCCGUUUACAGCCGCCACAUGGUGCCUCAGACCCUGGCAUCUAUGCACCUUGGGCUGCAAAGGCGACCAACCCAAGACUCCUAGGACGGGACGGCAAGCGUCCGGAGAUGUGCGAAUGUCAAGCUGCUGGCUGUCUCACGGGCUGUGACAUCAGACGCCGCAGCUCGUCACCGUCUACAGAGCGCUCGCACCCAUGCUGCUCCCCACACGGGGAGAGAGCACGUGCAGGUGUGCGACCCCCCCGCCCCGGGACCACGGGACUGCCUCAAGCCGACCAGAAGAGCGCACUCCACCCUUCAUUCCGUGUCUCCCCCUCCUGAGCUCAUGAGACAUCCCUCGCGUGUAGACCCUUACUGGCCAACGUUUCGAAUGUCACCUUCUGCAGUGGCCAUCCCCGAGCACCGUGUGCGAAACAGAACUGCAAGGCCCCGCCCCCGCCCAUGCCCCCUGCGGCUCUCUAGCCCCCGUUAUGUACGUUUUACUGUUCAUAUGUACUGUGUGAUCCUUACGUACAUUCACUAUAUAUAUAUUUUACUAUUUAUCACCUGACCUUCCCCAAGAGAAUGGACGCUCCAUGAGAACAAGGACAUCGUUCUUUUGUAAUUACUAUAUUCCUAGGACCGGGAACCCUGCCUGACGAUGCACUAGACACACACAGUAAGUAUCUGCUGGAACGGACACACCUGUUUUACAACAGGGAGGAGCAAAGGGUGCGUGAUUCACCCACGGUCUUCACUGGCGACCGAGGGUACAACCCCUCAUUGCACGUACAAAGAAAAUGGGAGAAGAGGGGUUGGGAAGACCACCCCUUGAAACAAGGGGGCGCUGAUCACCCUGGGCCAAGGCAGGGCCGUCUGACCGGGAGUCGCUGAGAGACGAGGGUGGUGUUAACCAGUUCUACUCAGGUCCCCUGUCCCCGGACCCAGCAGCGCCCCAGGUGUGGCGUUCACGCGUCCACUCACUAAUCCGCAGGCCAGAGCCUGCUCGGGCAGCAGGAAGGCAGCGAAAUCCUUGAGCAGCUGAGGCCAGUCCUGGAGCAGAACCUGCAGGCUUCUGUAGAGAUCCACAGCUGUCUGCCUCUGAGUGCUGGACUCGAACUCAUAGAUGACCUGCAGGAAGUCCUCAUACUUGCCAGGGAUGUGCUGCAGCGCCUCUCGUACCUACGCGGGAAGACGUUCCGCCGUCAGGACAGGAAAGAGCCGUACGGAUUGAGGAGGAGGAGUCCCCACACCGACCCCAGAACCACCCUGCGGAGGCUACCCCUCCCGCAGCUCCUGAGAUCUGCUCACGGAAGACACGGAGCAGUGAGUCAGGCACCACCGCCCCUCCCCUGCUGGCCGGCCUCUGACACGCCUUCGUUCUCCAGGGGCCACAGCCCUCCCUACCAAACCAAGCGAGCGUGUCUCCAGCCCACGGCCCUAGCCUCUCCCUCCUGAUCUCAGCCCCGCACUGAGACAGACAAGGAGUGCUCUGCACACGCAGUUGCGCGGGGUACCGCGGGCCCACAGCGCGUACAUCAGGAACACCGUCAACUGUCAGCAGACCAGAAGGCGUGGCCGUCACUGCUGGCAGGCUGAACCGCCGGGGGCAUAAAGGAACCAGACGGCUGCAUGCCAAGGGCAGCUGCCAGGCACAGUGGGGUCAGCUCUCCGAAGACCAGGGCACUUCCCGGAGUCCACUCUCUGGCCAGUGCACCAACGGUCUUUCUUCUCCUGCCGAGGGCUCGGGAAAGGCCCGCUUUAGCCAACCCAGCGAAGUCACCCCUCUCACUGAUGAUGGUGGCGCCACCUUUCCCCGCUUUCUGAACAACAGAGGGGUGAUGCUCAGGGAUUCACAACAAGCCGUGGACGAGGAAGCCUGGGUCCUGUCUCUCUCUCUCAGAUCUGAGGGCAAUUCCAGGAGAGAGCAAAGGCAGAGGCACACGAGGCAGCCGUGCGGCCUGAAAA